AAUUGAAUAGCGCAAAUAGGUGCUGUGAAUGAAGUAUUCAUAGCUUAAAAGGGAAGACCGGUUAGAAUCCGGCACGGUCCCGCCACUGUAAGGAGGAGCAAUUUCUCAAUAUCCACUGUCUUUUUUAGAUGGGAAGGGGAGAAAGAGUGAUGAUUCUAAGUCAGGAGACCUGCCUAUUUUGUAAGUAAGCU
rnacentral:ncRNA from 2 species